UUGUAGGAUCAGAGAAGCGAUAGACUUCAUAUCUAAUAUUACAACUUGGUUUGACAACUCUACAACCAAUCUUGUUAUAACAGUAAAUUGGAAUUUCUGAUAUAGCAAACUCUAAACAAUCAUUGCAAUCUUGCUCUGACAAAUCAGGUGUACACUGCACAAGACCAUAUAUGGUUUGAAAAUUCAAAUUCACAUCAGUUGCAUUAUCCGCAGCAAACUUAAGACGAGAAUCACUUGAUGCAGCUAUUUCUCUCAGUUUCCUCAUCAAGUUUCCAAGAACUCGAUUAAAUGGAUCCACCUCGGUUACAUUGUUCGGGUUCGACAUAUAAAACUUUGGUGACCAUUCAAGAAUGCCAAAUAUUGAUUGGUUUGAGUAACGCAACAUGUAGUCCUCAUACCAACCAAUUGCUUCUUUUUGGUUUGGACAAAGUUUUGUGAGAAGAACUCUUGAAUCAUUGAGACGACUGCGGCAAACAUCAGGUUUAACAUCUCCUCUGCAGAGUCCAAUGGCGUUUACUUUGUCGGUGUUUUGGCCAUAAGAGAAAUUGUAGAAACCGUAGUUGAUUUGAGUGUUGGAAGUGAGAUUGGAUAAAAGGGUGUUGAGGUUGUUUUGAUAGGUGCUAUUGGCUGUGUAGUUGCCAUUAUUGUUUAUACAAGAGUAGCGCACAAAAUCUGGUUGGCCCUGGGCUUGAGAUACGAUAAUGAUAAUAAAAAGGAGAAAAGAGUAAAAGGAAAAUAAUAGCUUGCUAGAAACAAUUGUCAUUCUGAUAUAUUGAUCUCUGUCUUGGAACAAGAACAGGUUAUUAAGUAGUGGAUGAUUGAAGCUUUGGAUAUGAAAGUCGGUCAAUGAAUUAAUUUUCCGUGGUUGAAGUUAUUUGUUGACUAAAAUUUGUUGAAACAAAGCUUUUAGACUUUUAUCAUUCAGUUGUGAAAGAAAUGAAAUAUGCUAGUAACAUCUAAUUUUUAUAAUCAAAACACUUAUGACUAAUGGCUUGCAUUUUUCUUUCCCUUCUUUCUAUUUUUGAAUUAUUACUAUUACUGCAUCUAGGUUUUUUAUAUUUGAAAGCAACGCUUUGUUAAUCAUCACACAACUUAUUAUUAUGAAGAUUUUAUGUCGUCAAAACUAUAGCCUGCAUUCAUACCGCAUGUGUCAUCCUAGUUACUUAAUGAUAUGUCACAUGUGCGUCAGCGUUGUCACAAUUGAGGGAUGGACCACUUAUGCCAAAGGAGUAAACUUAAUGGUUAAAAUUGCAAGUAAGUGGUAUUGAAGAGAUCAUAAUAUUCGCUGCCAAUUGAAAAGCCAACAAAACCAUUACCCCAUUCUUCCUUCUUCCUCCCUUCAUAUUUCUUUUUCACGUCAUGGUGGGGUACUGUUUGGCCGCGUUGUCCAUAAAUUUUAAUGUUAGAAGUCAAUAACAUCAUGUUGUCAAGAAGAUGUACGAGGAAAACAACAGCAUCAAAAUUUGCUCUAGAUAGAGGAAUAAUACUAGUAAAGUUUAUGGUCAGUCAACUCAAGUCCAACACCUCACCUUUACAAAUUUGUGUCAUUUGGUCAAUUGUGUAUACCUCUGCAAAUAUAUCUUUGUAUAUUACAUGAGUGAAUUUAGGUUUAAUGUUACAAGCUAGAAUAGACUAACUAUUUUAUGAAUAUCUAUUUUAGCAAUUUACACAUUUUCUUUUCGAUAAAAAGACUCAUUUAAUUACAUUUUGUUUGAUAAUGACUUGUCCAAAAUUACAACUCUAUUUUUCAAUUUUGAUUUUUUUUAAAAGAGUAAAAUUAAGUUUUUUGUCCAAAAAAAGGUGUUGGUUGCUAAAAUACUCCUUUAUGAAAAAGUAUGGUUAUAUGUAUAAACAUACACAGGACUAUAUCCAAAUUCACAAUGAUCCACUAUAGCCCAGCUGCCCUGCCCUUUGCCCCACUUACAUUUGUAUAUAUGAGUCAUACUUAAUGGAACUCAACAUUCUAGCAUAUAAAAAAGGGAAAAUUGAUGUUCACACUUGUGUUCAAACAUUAAUGUAAUUUUAAUGAAAUGUCGGAUUGAUUCAAUUAUGGACAGCUAUAAAAGAUAAUGUAUUUUUGUUGUUUAUGACUGAGUAUAAAUGUUGUACGACUAAUAUUGUUUCUGGAAAUGCUCUGGUUGAAUUAUAGGUAAAAACUAGCCGAAAAAUGGCUUGGUUCAACUAUGCAGAACCCACUGUCUGCAUAAUUGCUUUCCUCAGCAGUUAACAGCAACAAGCGGCAAUUAACUGCCGAAGAAUAGUAAAACCAGCCUUUUGUCUUUUAAUGAUGUGUUUCAGCCUUAUCACAUGUGUGAACAACAAAUUUCUAAAAAAGGACCUUUUGCAUCCUCUAAAGUGGAGACAUAUGGUUUGAAUGAGGACUUAGGUACCUAAAGGGUGCAUGUAACCAUGUUGAAGUUACAACUCACGGAUACAUGUAUUUCACUACACAAUCCACAUAUACAAAUAUUUUACACAAUCAUCAAAUGUCACUUUAUUUAAUGAGUUUCAAAAUAAAUGCAUGACCCCACAUCACCCUUAUGAAUGAAAUCUAUCGAGGGUAUGGAUCAGUAAUUGAAGCAUGGUUUCUUGAUUCUCCCUCAAAUUGCAUGUCUCGAACUGGAAGGCUUCUACUUCUGCCUCCCACAAUAGAUGCAGGCUCCAAAGGUACAGCGAGAGUGAUAUAAUAACUACUAAGCAUGAGUACAACGGUUGCCAUGAUUGGUCUUUCAACCAAAUUUUCUUGAACACAUAGUAAAGCAAUGUGAAUGCAUCUCAUUAUUUCAUUUCGUGAACCAUUGCUUAAUGAUGGAUCUAUUAUAUUUGUGAUUGUACCCUCUCUCCAGUUUCUCCAUGCCUGCACAAUUGCAUAUACCUUUUAUAUCGCUAAUUACAAUUCAAUCUUAACAUGCUUAAUUUAAUGAAAUCAUCUUUUAAUGCAUACUUUUUUAUUGGCAUUGAAGAAAUAAUAAUGAGAGAACAGGACUUACAAAGCUAAGUAAAUCCUCCGAACGCUGUGCAUGAAAAACGUGACAUGCUUUCUGGCCACUUAUAAUCUCCAAAACUAGCACCCCAAAACUAAAAACGUCUGAUUUUAUCGAAAAUUCUCCAAACAUUACAUACUCGGGAGCCAUAUAUCCACUACAUAAAAAAGUGAAAAAGUUUAAUUAGUCAGAACUAAUUAGUCUUUCCGAGUCACAAGUAAUCAACUUGAAUUAGUUGUUAAGGCCAAUGAUACCUAUUAACAAAUUUGAUUUAUUUUUUAUUCAAAAAAACAAUUUUGAUUUUUCACCAAUUACCAUGAUGCAUGAUACCAUCUUUAAAAGAGCUUAAAUAUCAUAAAAACUAUUUUUGGAGUCAACAUCAAUGAAUUACAUACAAUACAAGAAAAAUUAAUGAUGAAAAAAAUUGUACUUAACAAGAUAUGGAAAUCAUAUCAUAAUACUUACUAUGUUCCAACGAUUUUAUUUGUAUUUACUUGAGUUUGAUCGACAAGAAGUAGUCUGGCGAUACCAAAAUCUGAUAUUUUAGGAUUCAAUUUUUCGUCUAAGAGAAUGUUACCCGCUUUAAGAUCACGAUGUAUAAUACGAAGUUGAGAAUCCUGAUGAAGGUAAAGAAGGCCUCUAGCAAUACCUCCAAUGAUUUUGUAGCGCCUUUCCCAGUCUAAUUGUGCUUUCUUUAUUGGAUCUAUACAUACACAAAAUUAGAUAUUUUAGUAGUCAUAUGCAUGAGAGCAACAAUCUAAUAAAGCAUAUAUUAUGGCCUACCAAAUAUAAAAUAAUCAAGACUUUUAUUAGGAACAAAUUCAUAGAAAAGCAAUCUUUCUCUUCCUUCUAGACAAAAACCAAGUAGUCAAACUAAAUUUCGAUGUUGAAGCUUAGCGACUAAAAGCACUUCAUUCUUAAAUUCAAUAUCCCCUUGUCCUGAAUUUGUUGACAACCUUUUGAUCGCAAUCACUUGUCCACCGGCGAGUAUACCCUGUAAAUAUAUUUCAUUUGUGUAUAAUAAGUACUUUAAUGAUGAAGAAUGUGAUGUUCAUCUAAAUCAAUAGUAUUAUAUAUAUACCUGAUAAACAAUUCCAAAUCCGCCAUGUCCAAGUUUAUUAGCUUCAGAAAAGUUACUUGUAGCAACUCGUAAUGUCUCGAAGUUGAAUAGCAAUGACUCAGCGAUUUCAAUAUCAUUAUUAUCAUCUUCUAUAUCUUCAAACAAUGUACAAGGCAUGUUAGAAAAAUAUGCUAAUAUCUAAUUUUUAAAAUCAAAAUACUUAUAACUAUUGGCUUCCAUUUUUCUUUGCCAUCUGUCUCUUUUGGAAUUACUGCUUCUAGGUUGUCUCUAUUUGAAUGCAAAACUCUGUUAACCAUCACAACUUAUUAUUAUGAAGUAAAUUUUAUGUCGUCAAAAUUAUCCUGCAUCCAUACCACGACUUAGACAGUCUAACAAAUUUAGGAAAGGUCACAUACCUUCGAGAUUUAUCUUUGCCUUCCUUUUCCUUACGCAUAUGCAAAUGAAAAUUAGCAGGGAAGCAACAACAACCACAACAGUCGGCACAACUAUGGCGAUGGUAGUAUGUGAUGAUUUGCUUUUUUCUGUAAAAUGAUACAUUUCAAAGAUUAAGAAUAGUAAAAUAAUACCAACAAACAAGGUCUAUAAUGACUAACUAAUGAGAAAAACUCCAAGAAAGGAACGAGUAAAACAAGACCACCUAAUUGUAAAUAUGUUGUAACGAGCAAUUAAGAUGAUUAAUUAACGACAAUUAGUAAUUACCUUCUUCUGAUGGGGAGGUUUCACCUGGGUCUAUUACAGGUGUAGGAUCAUAGAAGGAAUAGAUUUCAUGUCUAAUAUUGCAACUUGGUUUGAGAACUAUACCGCCAACCUUGUUAUUAAAAUAAAUAGGAAUUUCUGAAAUAGCACGCUCUAAACAAUCAUUGCAAUCUUGCUGUGAUAAAUCAGGUGUACACUGCACAAGACCAUAUGUGGUUUCAAAAUUCAAAGUUGCAUUAGCGGUAGCAAACUUACGACGAGAAUCACUUGAUGCUGCUAUUUCUUUGAGUUUCCUCAUCAAGUUCCCAAGAACUUGAUUAAAUUGAUCCACCUCGG
rnacentral:lncRNA from 1 species